GGCGUAGCUCAGUGGCAGAGCUUCUGCCUUGCAUGCGGAAGGUCCCAGGUUCAAUCCUCACCAUCUCCA